AAAACGGUCACUCAUACCAUGGAGAUAGGAAAGUGAAGCACUGCUUUGAAGCUUGGGUCAUCAGAUGUUCUUUGUUUACAUUCAGAAGCUCGCCUGACACGGUUCUGUUAAUGUUUGUGGUGUAUAGUCAUGGAAAGAUACAGUACAAAACAGCGAGUGUUGAUUAUGAAAACUCACUAUAAAAAUGGUGAAAGUUUGGCAGAAAAAGUUCCGAAAACUCCGUGCGAUUAUGGGACACAACAAUGCACCAAAUGAAACCACUGUUCGUAGGUUGAUCAAGAAAUUUGGAAAAAAAAAAAAAAAAAAAA